UACGUAUGGUGCGAGCGUUAAUCGGAAUUACUGGGCGUAAAGCGUGCGCAGGCGGUUUGAUAAGUCAGAUGUGAAAUCCCCGGGCUCAACCUGGGAACUGCGUUUGAAACUAUCAAGCUAGAGUAUGGGAGAGGGAGGUAGAAUUCCACGUGUAGCAGUGAAAUGCGUAGAGAUGUGGAGGAAUACCAAUGGCGAAGGCAGCCUCCUGGCCUAAUACUGACGCUCAUGCACGAAAGCGUGGGGAGCAAACAGG
rnacentral:rRNA from 1 species